rnacentral:rRNA from 1 species
GACGUAGGGCGCGAGCGUUGUCCGGAUUUAUUGGGCGUAAAGAGCUCGUAGGCGGUUUGUCGCGUCGGCUGUGAAAACUCGGGGCUCAACCCCGAGCCUGCAGUCGAUACGGGCAGACUAGAGUGCGGUAGGGGAGACUGGAAUUCCUGGUGUAGCGGUGAAAUGCGCAGAUAUCAGGAGGAACACCGGUGGCGAAGGCGGGUCUCUGGGCCGUAACUGACGCUGAGGAGCGAAAGCGUGGGGAGCAAACAGG